rnacentral:rRNA from 1 species
UACGGGGGGGGGCAAGCGUUGUUCGGAAUUACUGGGCGUAAAGGGCGCGUAGGCGGCUCGCUAAGUCGGAUGUGAAAACUCUGGGCUCAACCCAGAGCCUGCAUUCGAAAACUGACGAGCUCGAGUUCUGGAGGGGAAAGCGGAAUUCCUGGUGUAGGCGGUGAAAUGACGUAGAUAUCAGGAGGAACACCGGUGGCGAAGGCGGCUUUCUGGACAGAAACUGACGCUGAUGCGCGAAAGCUAGGGGAGCAAACAGG